rnacentral:tRNA from 2 species
GCUCCGGUGGUGUAGCCCGGUCAAACAUAGGGGACUCUCGAUCCCCUGCCCCGGGUUCAAAUCCCGGCCGGAGCA